CCUACGGGAGGCAGCAGUGGGGAAUAUUGCACAAUGGGGGAAACCCUGAUGCAGCGACGCCGCGUGAGCGAUGAAGUAUUUCGGUAUGUAAAGCUCUGUCAGCAGGGAAGAAAAUGACGGUACCUAACUAAGAAGCAACGGCUAACUACGUGCCAGCAGCCGCGGUAAAACGUAGGGGCAAAGCGUUAGCCGGAGUUACUGGGUGUAAAGGGAGCGUAGACGGCAGGGCAAGCCAGGUGUGAAAGCCCGGUGCUCAACCCUGGAACUGCAUUUGGAGCUGGGCUGCUAGAGUGUCGGAGAGGCAGGCGGAAUUCCUAGUGUAGCGGUGAAAUGCGUAGAUAUUAGGAGGAACACCAGUGGCGAAGGCGGCCUGCUGGACGAUGACUGACGUUGAGGCUCGAAAGCGUGGGGAGCAAACAGGAUUAGAUACCCCUGUAGUC
rnacentral:rRNA from 1 species